GGAAAGGGGACAGGUCAUGGGUACAGGUAAGGGGACAGGUCAUGGGAACAGGUAAGGGGACAGAUCAUGGGUACAGGUAAGGGGACAGAUCAUGGGUACAGGUAAG